CAGCCGCCACGGUAAUACGGAGGGUGCAAGCGUUAAUCGGAAUUACUGGGCGUAAAGCGCGCGUAGGUGGUUUGUUAAGUUGGAUGUGAAAGCCCCGGGCUCAACCUGGGAACUGCAUCCAAAACUGGCAAGCUAGAGUACGGUAGAGGGUGGUGGAAUUUCCUGUGUAGCGGUGAAAUGCGUAGAUAUAGGAAGGAACACCAGUGGCGAAGGCGACCACCUGGACUGAUACUGACACUGAGGUGCGAAAGCGUGGGGAGCAAACAGGAUUAGAUACCCCGGUAGUCCCUGUCUCUUAUAC
rnacentral:rRNA from 1 species